rnacentral:rRNA from 1 species
UACGAAGGGGGCUAGCGUUGCUCGGAAUCACUGGGCGUAAAGGGCGCGUAGGCGGCUUAUCAAGUCGGGGGUGAAAGCCCGUGGCUCAACCACGGAAUGGCCUUCGAUACUGGUAGACUUGAGACCGGAAGAGGACAGCGGAACUGCGAGUGUAGAGGUGAAAUUCGUAGAUAUUCGCAAGAACACCAGUGGCGAAGGCGGCUGUCUGGUCCGGUUCUGACGCUGAGGCGCGAAAGCGUGGGGAGCAAACAGG